rnacentral:rRNA from 1 species
UACGAAGGGGGCUAGCGUUGCUCGGAAUGACUGGGCGUAAAGGGCGCGUAGGCGGCUUGCACCGUCAGACGUGAAAUUCCUGGGCUCAACCUGGGGGCUGCGUUUGAUACGUGCUGUCUGGAGUUCGGAGAGGGUCGUGGAAUUCCCAGUGUAGAGGUGAAAUUCGUAGAUAUUGGGAAGAACACCGGUGGCGAAGGCGGCGACCUGGUCCGAUACUGACGCUGAGGCGCGAAAGCGUGGGGAGCAAACAGG